UCUACGAAUGAACUAAUUAUCAAUGUAUAUCACACGCACUCUUUACCUGCCACAUUUAAAGAAAUUUCAGAUACAGUAGUCGACAGCUUUUUCUAUUGACUAUGUAUAAACUAGUCCAGAGAUUACGUCCGUGAGAGAGAAUGCGCGCCGUUUAUUCAUAGCCCAAGACACCAUAUGGUUUAUGAUAUUAAUUGCACCGCUCGCUGUUUCGGCAUAGGAAAAUUAUCUGUCCGUUGGAUUUUAUUUUUGUCCGAGAGCGCACGCUCACAACUCACAGAAUUGAUAGAGAACGGGCCAAGCGGGAUACUGUAUUUUGACUCUGUAUCUAAAAGCACUGUCUGACUUUAUGGGUCAUGUGAUGGUUGGUGUCCGUCUACAAUCUGUACAUCACUUGAAACCGCAGAUUUUAUUGCCACUAUCAUAAAGGAAUCGAUUUCGUCAAAUUUCAGUCUUUUUAAAAAUAUAUAUAUCGCUGUAAUUAUUCCUACUUGGCGUGGUGCGAAUCUUCGCAGGUUGUGAAUUCUACUGCAUAUUCUGUAACUGAUUUACAGUGGUCAUCCAAGCAUUAAAGUAGCGUUUGAAGUGCAGCUUAUCGCAUAGGAAGACUCGAGAAAAUCACUUUUUCUCCCGUAUACUCAGCUACACCAAACAACGUUUGAGCGUCAUUGUGCGGCCUACAGCAAAGGUGACACAAUAAUUUUUCUUUGAUCAUUGGUAAACAGUCGCUCAUCUAUUCUGUAUUCAACUGAAUUAGGAGAAGCGCUUCAGUCAAUACUAGAUGUUUACACAAUUGCUUACUCUCCAGUUGACCCGAUCGAUGCUAUUAUAAGUGUGAUUUCAGCCACUCGGUCCUUCAAAACACCUGUGUGUAAGGAGAAUUAAACCAGCAAACAUAACGGAAACUAGUCAAGUUAAGCUUGAGUAUGUACAACCCGGAUUAUGUUCAGCUUUGUGAAUGUUGAUAUCAUUUUGUACUUCGAUAACAUCCACGGACAAUAUGAGGAAUUACGUAUCGUGUGGUUUGGUGAUAUUUUCAACGUGGUUAGACUAUGUACUCGGUGAUUUUUCAGGACAGAAGAAUCCCGCUACAGAGCCUGGUUAUAAAAACAGUUACCAUGGAAUAAUACAAAAUAAAAUGAUAAUAGAAUCAGUAUUUAUUUGUAUACUCGCUUCAACAGUGUUCAUUGGACUUGUUAUGUGGGUGAUAAAAACUAAUUUCGAUGAGAACCAACAGUCGAAAAUGCGACGGGAAGCGUCUAUACGGGAACGACAAAACUCCAAUGCACAUCAAGUUUAGCUACUAAUUGCGAAGCUGACUGGGACACAAACCACCAACAGCUUGACAAAAUACAAAUUACAUAUUUUUAUUGAUUUGUUACACAAGUUCGUUACUAUAUGAUAUGUAUAUAUUGGUUGGGCUGCCUGUUAUCUCAACGUUACAUUUUGCUAAACAUGUUCAACAGUUCGUUUGUUUAUCUUUGCCAUAUAUGGCCCAUCUUUACUUUUAUGUUUGCUAUAUAUGGUCCGUCAUUAUAUUUGAUGGAGGUUCAUUUCGAGCAAGGUUUUUAUUAAUGUUUUGCUGCUGUUUUUAUGCCUGAAUUUUAGUCAAAUUUUUGAUCUGUAAAAGUUGUAUCACCGCGCACGUUGCUCUGAGUUAACAAUUGACAAUUUUUUUUACUGCAACCAGUGUACCUACAUAACCUUGUUAAUAUAUAUAUGCUUACCUAAUCAGUUCAUUAUUUCACUGCUAGUUGCUUUUAGAGUUUGUAUUCGCUAGUCGACAGUUCGAAUAAGAUGCAAGCAAACGAGAUCGUAAUAAUACAGAAUGAUAUGCAUUAAUCAACAUACCGAAUGUGAGAUAACAUUCGUGAAUGUUUCACGAGGAGAACAUACUCUCAAUUCUUAAAAUCAAAACAAGUCUUCCAUGUGUUAUAUUCGUCGUUUGAUACUAUUUGUGCGUACACAGACUAAACAGUAAAUCUAAUAACCGUCUUUAUGUUCGAUGGCACAGCGCUGCCUUGCAGUGGUGCCAUGUGGUGUCGAGAACUACCUGUACUACUAUUCUACUAUAGCAGGGGAAUUGUCUCGUCGUGUAUAGGCAUUGAAUUGAUGUCAUCCAGUGUUGCUUUCUAUGCGUUACAUUUGAAUUUAUCAGUGAAUAUAUGAAAUUUUAAAAAUGCUAAGGGUUAUUGGUCACAAUGGAAUUUACUAAAACGUAUCAUAUUCUUUAUUAAACACUAACAGCAAGAAAUUCUUAUCUAUUUCAUAACGAAUUUCUUGGGAGUUGUUAUAAAAAAAAUUGAGGCCUUGUUUUGCUCCCCCAAAUCACAUUCCUAUUGACUAGAUCUAGGAAUACAACAUAAUAUGUAUGUAUUCAUUCCGUUUAUCGUAGUAAAGAAUGGUGUAAUUAUCAUCAUUAAUAAUUCUCCAAAGCUCAUUUUUCAUUCGCCACUCACUGCUUACUGAACAGAGCGUGACCAAAGAAGAAAUACUGAUACAGGAUGAGAAUUUUAAUGAAAAUAUAUAUAUAUAUAAUAAAUGCUGGAAUAUAGGUCCAAUAGCAGCAUACCUUUCAUAAUUACGAAAAAAUUCUUCUUUUGGCGAAUAUUCAAAAUGUUGUUUUGAUUGGAGUUUAACAAUGUUACGCAUAUUAUAUCAUUUUUUCAUUAGUAGGCCCAAUUUGUGUAUGACUUUGACAGGCUUUGUAUAAUUAUGGAAAUUUAGAUUUGAUGUGGAAGGGUCUGGACGUACGGCUACCGUAUCCAGCUAUGAAUGACUAAUGAUGCAGGCGAUACUGACGAUUAUCAUGAUAAAGUUAACGUGCCUCUAAUUGGACAUUGUGGAAGCCUUUAUUUUGACUGUUACAGUAUUUGUACUAUAUCAAGAAGCCUAAAGAACCAAAAGAUAUGUCGAUACAUUAGUAACUAAAAUGCUGGUUAUUAUCAUCUUUUGCGUAUUAUUAUUAUUAUUAUUAUUAUUAUUAUUAUUAUUAUUAUUAUUAUUAUUAUUAUUAUUAUUAUUAUUAUUAUUAUAUUUCACAGAUAAUAAUUACCUUCGUUGUUAGUAAGGCGAUUCUGAGCAAUACAUUCUUAACAAUAAUUGAAUUGGUAUUAAGAAAACAUUAUAUCUCCUUUAGUAAAGGAUGUCACUGUAAAUGAAAAUAUUUAUAGGUAAGAGAGAUUUAUGUAAAAAAAUGCCAAUUUUAUGACUUGGAUUAUCAAUUUACCUCGGAUAAAAUAAUGAGGUAGGGAGAGCAAUACUAUUGUGCCCAAAGUGUACGAUGAGUAAAAUAUAAUCAAAAUUAGAUUUUAUCCGCAAUUCACUUCGGGUAAAAACCUAAUCUUUACCAAGUGUCAUUAAUCAAACAAUUAAUUAAUUAUUUAAUAAUUAAAUUUGCUUGCGAUGGUCACUUCACAUUAUUGAUUUACAUUUCCCAUGCCUUUCUGACUGUUAGGUAAUUAUUAAACUCAUUAAACCUGUAAUUAUUUCCAUUUACGGUACUGUACUACGAUAUGUAAAGAAAAUCCAAUAACCUGUGAAAUACAUUGAAACACGAUGUUUACACCGUACGGUAUAUUUUGACUCAUUUUACCCUUCAAAAAUAUAGGCCUAUGAAAUUCUUAUUUCAGGAAUAGAUAAAAUAUGAAUAAUUUAUAAUUUUCGGAUUAAAGUGUGACACUAUUUUUACGAUUUUUCUCAUGGUUCAUUGACUCAAUUUUCCGUAAAUAAUUUGUGUUAAACAAAAGAUGUCAGAUUGACUUCCUGAUUAGAGCUUACCCCAGAAUGUAUCAUUCUACAUUUCACUAAUUCGCAAGCACUUUCGUUUUUAUAUUUCUCUUUGAUUCUUACUAUUUAAUACGACUUACUACGUAGUCUAUACAUACAUUAUUUAGAAGUAUCAUUAACUUAGUUUUAAAUUUUAAUUCUGCAAUAUUUUAUUUUGAAUGAGUUUCUCACGGUAAGACUGUUAGACUAUAGUCGGCUUACCAUUAUUUCCGUUAUUUUUAAAGUAUUAAAACUAUAAAAAGUCACAGAAUACAUACAAGCCUAUGUAGCGUACACUCUUUAAUUUUAAUUUCCAAAAUAUUAAGACAUUUAAGAGGUUUGCAGAAUUAUUGUAAGAAGAAACUCACUACAUUAGACAAGAGUUUAAAGAUAAAUAUUUUUAACAUAUUGUUUUUGAAAACAAAUCCCACAGUUAUGUGUAAACGAUUGUGUGAUAUGUUUUCUUAACCUUUUAGAAUACCAUUAGUGUCGUAAUUGCUAAAUAAACCUGGGUAAGUUUAAGAUGAUCAGUCACGCAUAAGGUAAUAAAUAAAACGAAGAAAAUAAGCAAGCAAUGGCUUUAUUAAAUCAAAAUGGCUGCCAGUUUAUGACAUAUUCAUACAUACUUUACCUUAUCUAAUUAGCACACACGAUUAAUCAUUUUGUAACAGCAUGAUUUGAGAGGCAUUCAAGUGACGUGACAAUAUAAGGAGGUGGGAACGAACCCUAAAUGCUAAUGUUCUACAAUUCACAGUGAAACUAUGAUGCAAAAUCUGCAAUGCAAUAUAAAAUGAUUUCAGUAAGUGAAAUAUGACAUACACUUUUGAUAAAGUGUUUGUUUAGUUUCGCAAAAAAAUAAUCUACUGCUGUGUAUCACCGUUUGGCUCUAUUGUAGUAAGCCUAUCACAGGUGUCACGCAUGCUCAACCAAACCUUGUAUAUAAACACUCGCAUCUGUAUUUCGUCCCAUUGCGACCUAUGUAUUUAAAUUGAGAAAAUAAUUAAAAAUGAUUAUAUUUUUGAUGUAUAUUUUUACAAGGUGUGGGCUAAUUGAGAUUUACUGAUCCCGUGGGAUUGGCAUAAGCUGAUCAUGUGAUAUUAAGUAUUGGCUUUGUUUUCGAAACUAAGAACAGAAGCUUCUACCAGAUAAAUCCACACUUAAUUCCAAUAUAUUAUUAAGAAACUCUAAUUUUGUUUUGUGGUACUUCUACGAAUUGGUUGCUAAACUUGAAAAUGUUGCAGUGUGAAAUAUAUUUGAAUUGUUGCAUUUCCGUUAUGGGGUCAUCUUAUACUUAUUGCUAGCUUAUAAUAAUAAUAAUAAUAAUAAUGAAAAUAAAAAUAAUGAUAGUGAUGAUCAUGAUGAAGAUGAUGAUGUUGAUUGUGGUACGUUGAAGAUAACGACAACGAUAAUAAGAAUAAUGAUGAUAAAUAAUAAAUAUAAUAAAAAGUAUUCACUUUCAGAUGAGGAUAAUUUUGAUUUACACUAAGUGAUUUUGUGUAUUUAAAUGCUUGGUGGUAGGCCAAAACCUCGUUGAAUAAUUUCUGUAAAAACCGUGGUAGUUUCAUUGUAUAACCAUGGAGGUUUGUAUACCUCCAUGGUACAACGAAGGUAGUCACAUAAUAUAAUGUAUCCUAAAGAUUGUCUAUGGGUGUAAAAAGCCAACCAAUACGAUUGGUGCAAAAAAUAUACUGUCUCUCGCAAACUCUAUGAAAAACCCUCACAAACUGAAACAUAGAGAAUUACUCAUUUAAAUGGACCAAACAAGUUAUCAAUUUCCAAAGAGGGAGCCUACACAAAGAUAUAGGAUUAAGGAAUGGUAAUUUUUGCGUCUGUUAACAGACAAGAAAAUAUUUUCUCGUAAUUUGUAAAUUGAAAACUAGUACCACAUAUAAGCAAUUCAAUUUAUGUAUUAUUUAAGUUAUUUAUUAAGCUCAACAGAGACAGUAUACCUUUACUAGCGAUUGUAAUAUCUGUGACGUUGGUAUAUACCAAACAAAAAUACUUUUAUAUUAUUAAAUUUCUUAAAUUCAUAUGUAAUAUUAAAGUGAGCUUGCUGUAAGAAUUUGAAAUUUACAUGCCAUUCACGUAAACACAGCAACGACAUUAACACUAUAUUAAGUCAAAGAACGCUGUUAUUGAAUUAUUUUACCGUGGAAAUAAAAUAUUAUAGCUCCAUGCUUUAACUAUAUAUAAUUACUUUAUUCCGAUAAGAUCCUACUUUUCUACUGCUAAUGGUUGCCUAAUUUAUUGGCUUAUUCUCUAGCUUGAUGUGAGUUUAAUGCAGUGUUUUCCAGCUUCAAUUUAAUCUAAAAUUACAACCCAUUAUGUACUCCUCCAAGUAUUAAGCAAUGGAGCUUUUGGAACAAGAUCAGAAUUAAUAUUUAUUCGAUUAUUACCAGAAUUAUCGUAAGAUUUGUGAUGGAAUAUACAUAAACAUGUGUUUAUUCAUGGCGGUAACAGGUGAUUCAUGCUAACGAAAAACAUGUACUAUAGUGUAAGUAAGAAUAAAACUACUUUACAUUCAACUUA